rnacentral:rRNA from 1 species
GAUGAACGCUAGCUACAGGCUUAACACAUGCAAGUCGCGGGACCGGCGCACUGGUGAGUAACGCGUAUCCAACCUGCCCUUCACCACGGGCUAACCCGGCGAAAGUCGGACUAAUACCGUCUGGUGAGGGCUGGGGAUGCGGCAGAUUAGCUUGACGGCGGGGUAACGGCCCACCGUGGCUACGAUCGGGAGGGGUUCUGAGAGGAAGGUCCCCCACACUGGAAAUGAGACACGGUCCAGACUCCUACGGGAGGCAGCAGUGAGGAAUAUUGGUCAAUGGGCGUAAGCCGGAACCAGCCAAGUAGCGUGCAGGACGACGGCCUAUGGGUUGUAAACUGCUUUUAUGCGGGGAUAGGUACCGCAUGAAUAAGGACCGGCGAAUUCCGUGCCAGCAGCCGCGGUAAUUC